rnacentral:tRNA from 1 species
GGGGUUGUGGCUCAGUGGUAGAGCACUUGCCUAGCAUGCAUGAGGCACUGGGUUAGAUCCCCUGCACCACA